UGGGGUAUUAGUUCCUUCACCAAAGAACUCUUUUUUCUAAAAAGAUAGUCCUAUUACUGACGAACACCUUCUAUUCAUCAGAAAGGUAGAAGUAAUAUCCCUUGGUCUCUUUUAGGUACCCUAUAAAUAGAUAUUUGUCAGAUCUAGGUCCAAGAUUGUCAGUUUUCAAUCGUUUGACAUAAAUCGGGUAUCUCCAAAUCCUCAGGUGAGAGAGUGCUAGCUUACAUCCUGUCCACAUCUCAUGUGGUAU
rnacentral:lncRNA from 1 species